rnacentral:rRNA from 1 species
UACGUAGGGUGCGAGCGUUAAUCGGAUUUACUGGGCGUAAAGCGUGCGCAGGCGGCCCGUUAAGACAGGUGUGAAAUCCCUGGGCUCAACCUAGGAAUUGCGCUUGUGACUGGCGGGCUCGAGUACGGUAGAGGGGGGUGGAAUUCCUGGUGUAGCAGUGAAAUGCGUAGAGACCAGGAGGAACACCGAUGGCGAAGGCAGCCCCCUGGGCCUGUACUGACGCUCAUGCACGAAAGCGUGGGGAGCAAACAGG